AGGGAUGUAGCUCAGUGGUAGAGUGCUUGCUUAGCAUGCAUGAGAUCCUGGGUUCAAUCCCCAGCAACACAC
rnacentral:tRNA from 1 species